rnacentral:lncRNA from 1 species
UUUCAAAGCAAGUUGCCGCCAAAACUGAAAGUUGACCACCGUGUUUCCUUUUGAGCUUUCCCGGAUUUUCGGAAUUUGAUAACGAUUCCGUGUUUCCAUUUUAGUUUAUCAAUCAAGAACCUGAUCAGUGACCGUGGCUUCAUACAUUCACGUAUCGAUCUAUAUAUAUCAUCUCAUAUCCUUCUUCGACACCACAACACAUCAUCUCUUCGAUACCCUUACACCCUCACCACAUCAUUCGCACGUUGCCGAGAAAACGGAAGUCGCCGGAUUACAUCGGAGUUCAAGUCGGAGACGCCGUAACACCCUCCGAACCCCCAUUGCAUCUCGCCAGAGUUUUAGAGGUUUCACCGGAGCCGCUCGGAGUUCACGAAGGGAACCUUUCGACUCGUUACAUGUUCGGUAUACGUUUCUCAUCCUUGUUUUCUUGUUUAAAGCCUUAUGAUGAAAAUCAUAACAACAGUAUAUUGCCUUGUUUAACAAGAGGAAGACAUGUAAUGUUAGGAAAGAGCCUUCUGUUUCUUUUUAAAUAGAGAAGAUAACAAUGAUGUUAGUAUUCAAAUAAAAUGAUAACUCAAACCUUACUGAUUAAUGUUUUAAACAUUAUCAUUACUGUAGUUGGAGUUUGGUUUUAUUCAAACCAAAUAAAAGAAGAUGAUGACGCCACUGUUCUUGUUUAGAAAAAAAAAACUGUUAUAUUGUUUAAACUAGUUUUAAAAAUAAUUUAUCAAAACAUUAUUUUCUUAAUAACUAAUUUUGUCUAAAUUAUAAAUUCUGAAAUCUUUUAAAUCCAUUAUUUAAUGCUAAACAAAACGUAUUUAAAUUCUUUUCUUUUGAACCUUGUUCUUUUACAACGCUAAAAUAAUUGAUUUAUUUAUAAAGCAUGCAAUUUAGUUAAAACAUGAUUAUCUAAACUUGUAUUUGAAUCUUUUUAAAUAUAAUUUUAUUUAAUCCUUUAAACCCUAUUAAUCAUAAAACUUAUAAAACAAAUAUUCAUGUUGUAAUAACUUCUUAGUUUAAGCGUAAGAACUAACAAUUUAUUUUCUUAACUAAGUAAAACGAGUUAAGUCCAAAAUUAAUAUAGAAAUUAUAGUAAUCUAUUUUGUGUGAUAUUUUACACCUAGGAUAACUAUCCUUGUUCGUACUCUUGGAAUCUCGACUUUCUACUCGUGCGUUAUUACAAGAAAUCGCAACGCAAUCAAUCAACUUGAACAAUGUUGAAAAGUGGUUGAUAGACAAGAUGAUGAAGAAGCAAGUUAGGGUGGACUAGAAACUCACCUAGAAAAUAAACUAUGUUUGAAAUUUGAUUUAUGUUUUGAUCAUGUUGAACAAUGUAUGACAUUUUAGGCAUUUAUGAAAUUUGAUUCAAUCAAUAUUGUCACAAAUAGUGUUAUGUUGUU